rnacentral:rRNA from 1 species
UACGAAGGGGGCUAGCGUUGCUCGGAAUCACUGGGCGUAAAGGGUGCGUAGGCGGGUCUUUAAGUCAGGGGUGAAAUCCUGGAGCUCAACUCCAGAACUGCCUUUGAUACUGAAGAUCUUGAGUUCGGGAGAGGUGAGUGGAACUGCGAGUGUAGAGGUGAAAUUCGUAGAUAUUCGCAAGAACACCAGUGGCGAAGGCGGCUCACUGGCCCGAUACUGACGCUGAGGCGCGAAAGCGUGGGGAGCAGACAGG